UGGCGAAAAUUUCUUUUAAUAACCAUUUGCUUUCAACUACCAAAUAAUAUGGUACCAAACUACACAUGUGACGAUCCCACCUUCCCCUAAGGCGAACCAGAGGGUUCGGCGGGCCGCCUGCCCGACUCUCGCCGGGACUCAGUCGUUCACUAAAGUCCUCAAAUGAAUUACAAGAAUAAACCUCAAAUAUACAUCACAUGGUCCACAAAUAUACAUCCAAGUCUCCAAUAAUUACAUGUCACAAAUGCAGCGGAAACUAAUUCCCAACUAUACAUCAAAUGAUUUCAAAUCCAAAACUGUACAAGAUAUAGGCCAUCCAUUCACGUGAAUAAGCACAACAAGUCCUGCCUUCGCCUUGAGCCCUGUGGAGGGGAAUAAAAUAUUUUUGGGGUGAGUUAGAAACUCAGCGAGUAACCAGAAAAUCAGUAAUCAAAUCGGUUUAACAAUAUUUCUUUUCAAUGAUGUCAUAAAUCAAAUGAUAAGUCCAGAAACAACUACAACAUUUGCAAAACAAUAAAUAUGGAGUAUCAAUAAUUCAAGAAACAUGUACAAUGGAAAGCGAUAGUAACAUUCAUGAAAAGGAUACGUUCAUUUUUUUAUAAAUAAUCUCUCGUUCAUCUUUUUAUUCGUUCAUCUUUUUUUUUUCCCGGACGUUGGCCGGUCUCCACCCAUCCGGACGUAGCCGGACUCUACCCAUCCGGACGUAGCCGGACUACAAGGUAAUACUCGAGUAUACCAAAUUCACUCAGGGUCACCAUAUCGCCCGACCGAGUCCGCUUCUGGCUCGAGUCGAUCGGUAACGAAGGGCAGGGCCCAAUUCAGCCAAACGGCUUACAUUCAUGCGCAACUAGCAUUUCAAUAAUUAAAUCCUUGAAAAUUUCACAGUUAUUUAGGUCGAGUGCGAUAAAGUACACACUCGCCUAGAAAGCUCGUUUUGGAAAUCAUUCAAAGCACUUAACACGUUAUCAAUCAAUAAUACAAGUCAUGAAGUCAAGAAAAUAUAGUAAAUAAGGAACACUCACAUGCAAGCACGCAUGAUAUGCAAGAAAACAGUUCAAAAGUAACUUUGGAAACAGUUUAAAGGUGAAUAAUGCAAGAAAACGGUACAAAAGUAACUUUGGAAACAGCUCAAAAGUAAAUAAUGCAGGAAACGGUUCAUAAAUAACUUCAGAAAUAGUUUGAGGUCACUCACCUCAAUGGCUCAGAAAUCAUCCAUCAUGUAUCAUUGCCUUGCUCAAACCCAAGUUUUAGAUCACAAACUCAAUGCAAACAAAUCCUUUAAAAGAUCGGACAGCACUUCCCCUAAAUUUGCUUACUUUUCCAGCCGUCAUGGCUUCAUGAUUUCCUCAUUCCAACCCAAAGGUACACACACAACAACAAGUUCAUCCAAUAGUCAUUCAGCAAACUCCAAGUAGUACUAGUACAAGUCAAACUAGGGAAAAGUUUGGAAAUGAAAGUUAAGCUCAAAACCAGAAAAAUAUUUUUGACGUCAUUUUGCGAUAAUGGUACCAAAGGCACUACGAUUGUCGGAUGAAGGUACAAGAUACACCGUUUCGAAACUAAGUGAUAGAGCUACAAUAUUGAAGAAGGUCUCUCAACCCAGUUUCGAGUGUAACCAGGUCAAAAAUGCAAGAUACUACACCAGAAUCACAAAAACAGCUUCACAGAACGCAUUCUAGCGGAAACAUCAUAACUCAGGCUCUCCAAGUCCAAAUCCAGAAAUUCCAAAACCAACUGAAAGCUAAGAAACAGGGCUAAAUUUCAUCAGAAGGCCUCAACAUCCAAUUCAGAAGAAAUUCCAGCCAAAACAACCAAUUACAGUCGCAAAUCCCAAUUUCGGGUAAACCAGAACAGCAAUAGUAAUUUCGACUUUUCUCAUUCCACACUACUCCGAUUGACCUGAAAUUUUGUAAACACCUUUAAAAUGCCAUUCCCUACAACUUUCAUGUUUUAAGAAAAGGCCAAUUCGGCCUCUAUCUAGGACCUAAAAAAUUCGGACAGAAUGUUCAUCACAAAACCCUCACUUUUCAAUUUUUGGUCCAAAACAGAAAUUGGUUGCAAUGAAUCACUUUUUCCACC
rnacentral:lncRNA from 1 species